rnacentral:rRNA from 1 species
GAUGAACGCUGGCGGCGUGCCUAACACAUGCAAGUCGAGCGGCAGCGGACCUUCGGGUGCCGGCGAGCGGCGGACGGCUGAGUAACGCGUGGGAAUGUACCCCAAAGUGGGGGAUAACUGCCCGAAAGGGUAGCUAAUACCGCAUAUGGUCUUCGGAUUAAAGCUUUCGAGCGCUUUGGGAACAGCCUGCGUCCGAUUAGGUUGUUGGUGAGGUAAAGGCUCACCAAGCCGACGAUCGGUAGCUGGUCUGAGAGGAUGAUCAGCCAGACUGGAACUGAGACACGGUCCAGACUCCUACGGGAGGCAGCAGUGAGGAAUCUUCCACAAUGGGGGCAACCCUGAUGGAGCAACGCCGCGUGCAGGAUGAAGGCCUUCGGGUCGUAAACUGCUUUUAUGAGCGAAGAAUAUGACGGUAACUCAUGAAUAAGGGUCGGCUAACUACGUGCCAGCAGCCGCGGUCAUACGUAGGACCCAAGCGUUAUCCGGAGUGACUGGGCGUAAAGAGUUGCGUAGGCGGUAGUUCAAGCGAAUAGUGAAACCUGGUGGCUCAACCAUUCAGACUAUUAUUCGAACUGUUCUACUCGAGAGUGGUAGAGGUAGCUGGAAUUUCUAGUGUAGGAGUGAAAUCCGUAGAUAUUAGAAGGAACACCAAUGGCGUAGGCAGGCUACUGGACCAUUUCUGACGCUAAGGCACGAAAGCGUGGGGAGCGAACCGGAUUAGAUACCCGGGUAGUCCACGCCGUAAACGAUGGAUGCUAGCUGUUGGAGGUAUCGACCCCUUCUGUAGCGAAGCUAACGCGUUAAGCAUCCCGCCUGUGUAGUACGGCCGCAAGGCUAAAACAUAAAGGAAUUGACGGGGACCCGCACAAGCGGUGGAGCGUGUUCUUUAAUUCGAUGAUAAACGAAGAACCUUACCAGGGCUUGACAUCCCGAGAAGUUCUGCGAAAGCAGAGUGUGCCUUUUGGAACUUGGUGACAGGUGAUGCAUGGCCGUCGUCAGCUCGUGUCGUGAGAUGUUUGGUUAAGUCCAUUAACGAGCGCAACCCUUAUGGAUAGUUGGAUUUUUCUAUUCAGACUGCCCCGGUAACGGGGAGGAAGGAGGGGAUGAUGUCAGGUCAGUAUUUCCCUUACGUCCUGGGCUAGAAACGCGCUACAAUGGCCGGUACAAUGCGCAGCUAAGUCGUGAGAUGGAGCAAAUCGCACCAAAGCCGGUCCCAGUUCGGAUAGUAGGCUGAAACUCGCCUGCUUGAAGCCGGAAUCGCUAGUAAUCGCAAGUCAGCAAAUUGCGGUGAAUACGUUCCCGGGUCUUGUACACAC